rnacentral:rRNA from 1 species
UAAUUGUUGCAGUUAAAGCUCGUAGUUGAAUUUCUGCUACAUUGCCUAUUCUCCUUUACGAGUUUGGGUCUUUUGUGGCUUAUCUGGGUUCGCUUGCGUUCCCGGUGUUUUACUUUGAGAAAAUUAGAGUGCUCAAAGCAGGCUUUUGCCUUGAAUAGUUUAGCAUGGAAUAAUAAAGUAGGACUUUGGUUCUAUUUUGUUGGUUUUAGGUACCAAAGUAAUGGUUAAUAGGAACAGUUGGGGGCAUUCGUAUUUAACUGUCAGAGGUGAAAUUCUUAGAUUUGAUUAAAGACAAACUACUGCGAAAG